GACGAACGCUGGCGGCGUGCUUAACACAUGCAAGUCGAACGGAAAGGCCCUGCUUGCAGGGUACUCGAGUGGCGAACGGGUGAGUAACACGUGGGUGAUCUGCCCUGCACUUCGGGAUAAGCCUGGGAAACUGGGUCUAAUACCGGAUAGGAGCCAUUUUUAGUGUGAUGGUUGGAAAGUUUUUUCGGUGUAGGAUGAGCUCGCGGCCUAUCAGCUUGUUGGUGGGGUAAUGGCCUACCAAGGCGGCGACGGGUAGCCGGCCUGAGAGGGUGGACGGCCACCUUGGGACUGAGAUACGGCCCAGGCUCCUACGGGUGGCAGCAGUGGGGAAUAUUGCACAAUGGGCGCCAGCCUGAUGCAGCGGCGCCGCGGGGGGGAUGACGGCCUUCGGGUUGUAGACUCCUUUCGCUAGGGACGAAGCUUUUUGUGACGGUACCUAGAGAAGAAGCACCGGCUAACUACGUG
rnacentral:rRNA from 1 species